GCUAGCGUCGCGGCAUCGUGGCGGUAUGAUUUAUUUUCGGCGCAGCUGGCGAGUUUGGCGUGACGAAACGCGCACGACCAUGCGGUACAGUAAUUCGACGAGAUUUUACAAGCACGUGGUGAGUUAACGAGGGAGUGCAGUUGACCCGAGUGUGACGGUAUGAAGACGCGAGAUUCACGGCAAAUUACAAGAGGCCAUAAACCGCGGGACAAAACUUUCUCGAAACUUGUCGUCGUUGUCGUCGUUGUCGUAGUAUACGUGACAAAUCUUACGUCAGUGCCACGUAACAGUGUUUAUACGUAUCCUGCCUUCACCGAUGCUAUAUGCCUUGUGUAAACAUUUCACGCAAAACGACGAAGGUUAAUGAGUUAGAACGAAGCCGGAUUAUCGAGGUAACUAUUCGUCAUGUGGAACGCUAGCGAACGCGCGUGAUAUUCGCACGUAAAUAUACACGGUAUAUCGCGUAGUGUAUCGUGUAAUGGCGUUUAAAAAUAGCGAGACGAAUAUCCGUCCAAUGAUGCACGGGAUGUUUAGUGAUACAGUUGUAGUUAUAAAUAGAUUAUUUUACUUUAUGUUAUAAAGAUAGUUUAUCAUCGAUGAUUGGAAAUGUUUGUGCAAUAAGUACGAAAUUGAAUGGAAUAUUUGACGCGCAAAUAACUUUAUAUUCAUACUCGGAGAACUGCGCAAUAGGAUAUUAAAAUAAUUAAUUGAAGCCCGUCUCGAAUCUAAAAUUACAAAUGCGAGGCCACGUGCUACACGGAUGCGGAAGGAUAAUGCGGUAACAUUUUGCGGCGAUGAGAGGGACUAACGAGUGGGGCCACGCGGACAAGCAUGGUACAAGGACGAACAAGAUGGAGAAAGACGAACACAUCAUGCACGGUAACCGGCACCGUGUGCAAUGAUAGUCCACGUUAACGACCGUCGAGAGUUACAAGGCUGCAAACUGGACGCCCGGCAGACGAGGCUAGACGAAACGAGACCCGUUUGCCGGCCAACCUUAAUUGCCGGCCAGGGAUUUACAGCGGCGCCGCGGUCGAUCGAUUCGUAUAAAGGAACAGGCGGCUAAAAGAUAGCUGGAAUGGCGCUAAAGUUGAAACGUAUCCACCAACGGGUGGAACGGCCGUAAUAUAUGUGGCGAUUCCGCCAACUUACCUGUUUCGAACGAACAAUGGCCCCGAGAGUUUCGUGGGAGGGAGAAGAGGAGAGGAGGAGGAGGAGGAGCCGCCACUUUUGAAACUUCACUAAUAUUUUAAAGGGGGCGCACCACGAGGUGAAUUGUCUCACGAGUUUCGUAAAAUGGCCCCCCUCCCUCACCCAGCGUUUGCCAACAAUUCACCUGUCCCAGGAAAUCGAGUACAUCAAGGUCGGCUUAACCACCUUCCUCGACACUCCAUUCUAUAAGGGAAGUUGCAGGGACUUUGCGCCACGAAACACUCGUUUCUUCGUAUUUUUUCCCCGAUCCGGUUCAACGAGUGAUCCAUUCACCAAGUAUAUAUAUAUAUAAAACAAGAGUGAAUUAUCUUGAAGAGAAACUUGCCCAAUUUCCAUGGAAAAAAUUCUUCCUAUUAAAACGUAACGGAUAACGAAGACGGUGAGCAACGAAAGAUGGCGUCAUGGAGGCAGACAUUUAUGAGACAAUCGAUAUCCCUGCAAGCGAAGAAGAAGAAGAAAUAAAACACUUUAACACUUUUUGAACGAGGAUAGGAGGCAUAGAGGCGAUGAACAAGAAGAAGGGUUGUUUGCGAACAGAGAAAAGCGUCUCUCGUAUGCAUCGUUGGCCAUUCGAGUUGAAUGGGCGAGUUGGUGGGGGGAUAUGGGGAGAAGGGGAGGGCAGCUGGAAACACCGUAAUCGAGUUUAUCGGGCAGACUAAUUAGAGAGCGAGGAUACCCGGGAAUAGAGCCCGAGGGAGACGCCGAAGGGCAGGGAUCGUCUGUGCCCCCCUUCUUGUCCUUACCGUGCCCUAAUUGGCGCGAGCAUUCCGAGUGUGCGUAAUCGGCGGCACAUCCGUUGCUUCGCUUUCCGCUUCGCGACUCGUUAUUGCUUCCGAGCUUCCUAUCCCCGCGUACGCGCUUUUCCCUCCGGAAUAUACGAAGUCUCCGAUACGAGGCCAGGUUUCGUGGUUGAAAAGAAAGAAACUCGUCUUCGACGUUUCGGAUUUGAUUUCGAGAAGAUUUAUAAUUUGGUGUUUGUAUCUCUUUUUUCUUUGCCAAUUUAUGAAUUAAUUUCCCAGUUUUACUCUACUGAUUUGUUCUCAGAUUUCGGCAAUUUAUAAGUAAUUUUUCAUUCUAGUUUGGAGGGUAGAAAUGUACUUUCUUAACUUUUUUCCCCCUUUCGCGAACGUCGAGAAAAUUUCAAAAUUUGCGUUUAUCGAGCCUCUUAACGGAACGGCAAACACGAAAUCCCGUAUACGGUUAAUUUUCGUUUAAUUUUCUUCUUUAAACUCGAAAGCGCUUUUCCCUCUAUCUCUGAUCAUUUCGUUGAUUUCCUCUUGUAUUCUCGUAACGAAUUAAAGAGUUGUGUUCGCCGGGUAAUGUUUUAUAAAUGGCAAUUGCUGUCGUUUCAAAGAGGUUCCUUUCAAACGGGAAAGGAAAAGGAAAUUAACUCGCGCGUAGAACGGGAGACAAGAAUUUAACUAGAAAAAUAUAUUUUCAUCCCGUUUACGAUUAAAAAUGUUCGUGGAAAUAAAAUUAUUCCUAACUCUUCCUCCCCCUUGUUUCCCCGUCAAACUGUCACGCUACCACAAUUUCGGAAUUUUUUUCAACUUGCACGCGAUUCUCGAAUUGGCCGAAAGGAGAGAUUCUUUCUUAAACGCUAUUCUAUUUUCGAUCCUCGAUAAUCGAUCAAUUUCCCAAACAAAGACCGCAUUGAAAACAUGGAAAAGAGCUCCUCCCUUCUUCACCUCGAAUCCUCCGAUUCGAGGAUUAAUCCCGCUCAAGAAUCCAAGGAUUAAUUACAACUUCUCCCCGAGGUUUGAUUCGACGCGACUUGGAAAAUCUUGGCGCGGAAACAACUCGGUUUCACUUAAUUUCCCGUUCGCCGUGGCCACACUUCACUCUCCUCUCCCGAACCUGCGGCGGAAGGGAGGGGAGGGGAGGUAAGAUUUAAUCUAGGGGAGUAGCAGGUAACACGGCUUACUCGAUAAUUCCCAACAAAGGGAUAAAGCUGCCGCUGUUGCUUGCUCGCCUCUCCCUCCACUCACCUCUGCAAAUCGGUGAAAGGGUUCUCCUCCCCCCUUCACCCUCUCCAAAGUCUCGAAGCAAUUCGUCCCGUUUCUCGUUAGACGGGGCCUGGCCCGUUUCAUAGUCUUUCUCCCCUCCGUAGACCCGAUUUUCCUUGAUUUUUUACAAAGAGGGCGCCGCUGCAAUCGGCCCCCGCUUUUAUUACGACCACCGACGAGCAGGCAAGCAUCGUUAUUGCUGAAAAGAGCGCGUUCUUAGGGCGUGUCGUCUUCGUCCUCCUCUCCGUCCUCGUUUUUUCCUUGCCAAGUUCCGCUUCAUCGAUUUGGGAAUAAGCAGGGGGAGGGGGUGGAUGGAUGGAAGAUGUUCGAAAAGACGGUGGAUUGAUCGUUUGAGAUGCAGUUUGACGGAAAGUCUGCUGGCAGAUGAGGGGAUGAGGUGGAAGGGUAAAUGGAAGGGCUCUCGAUGACGAGACGCUUAAAUUUCGGAUAAUUAUUUGGAAUGUCGUUUGCUGACGAUAUUUUAUUGGUUGCAUUGUUUCUAACCUUUAUUCGAUUUAAAUUUUAAAUAUUUUUCUUCCUGGGAUAUAAUAAGGAUCUCAAUCGAGCUAUACAUCCCUCUCCCUUUUCCUGAUUCAAAUCGUAUCGAUUGGUUUUAGAGGGCCGGUUUUAUCGCACGGAUGUUGCAUUAUUAUGAAAUUCAUGAUGGAAAUGGCACGGGUCACUCCUUUCAAUUCGGCAAUCACUUUUCGAAAAGGUAUUCGUAUUAUACCGCGCAGUUUUUCUAAACGAUUUGCUCGGAUCUCGUUCGAGGGAAUGUAAAGUCGAAAGAGAUAAACGCGAAGAUUCUUAUUUCUUUUUAUUCUUCCUGUAAUCCAUUUUCAUCGAUUCCCUUCAAUUUCAAAAAAAAAAAGAAACAAUAUUAUAUAAUCUACAUCAACCCUCCUCCUCCUCCUCCUCCUCUGUGGAAGAGCACGAAAAACACAUUUCCCCUUAAAACUCCAAUUUCCGCGCGCGUGCAAAAAAACCUCCCCUUUUUUCUUCUCAAAUUCCACAACCCUUCUAUAAACCUAUUAUCCUCCAUCCUGUUCGCAUAUCGGGUUACACAAUUUCCUUAUCCACGAAAACUUGGUCACCCGAAAGAAAUCACAAUUCUCGAUCCCUCUCUAUCGACCUCCCAUGACGGAUCCAAUUAAAGAUGUAAUAAUAAUAACAAUAAUUCAACAUCCGCCGAUUUAAUUCGAUUUUCAGAUCUUUUAUAUUUUGUCCAAAAAAAGAAAAGAAAGAAAAGAAGAACGGGAGGAGAGCAUCCUCACCUUCGGAAUUUAACGAGGGACAAAGGUAUCGCUCGACCUCCGACGGGAAGUGAUGGUGGCGGUUGAAGCACCCUCAAACCGGGUCCGUCAAUUUCCGCCCUCGUUAGUCUCUCGGAGAAGGAUGGAUUUGGAGAUGGAGAUAAGUGGUUAAGAAGAUUUCUUUUUUUAUUGGGAUUCGAGGGGCUUCAAGAUUGAAAAUAUAUUCGGAUCUGCAGCUUUCAUUUUGGGAUGGAAAUUCAAGGAAAAGAGAAUAAAUGGUUGUGGAUCAAAGUUAUAGUAAAUUAUAAUAAUUCCAGCGAAUAAUAGUGAAAUUAUCAUGUAGUUAUUUUUAUAAAUUAAAAGGAUUUAAAGGGACGAGUUCAGAGACAGGGGUAAGUAAAAAAAAAAAAAGCGACGAUGUAUUAUUAAAUUUAUCAGCAGCAUAUCACGAGCUAUUUACGGAGAAACUAGCGAUAGCAUUAAGUAUAAAUGGAAUUAUCAAGAGAAAAAACCGUUGAACGAUACCUCGUAGGGUUAAUUUAGAAGGAAGGGUUCACGAUGUCAAUGGCAUUUAAACUACCACUACUUUCCCCCCCUACUUACUUUCAUCGUACGCUCUCUGUUCGUGCCAAUUUUAACAUUCGCGCCGAUAUAUCGAUCGAUGAAAAUGUCACUUUUAUUAAAAUAAGAAACGAGACGCGAAAAUAAAAUAAUCGUGAGCAAAAAAAAAAAGAAGGAGAAAAAGAAGCGGAAUGGAAUAUUAAUUCGACUGACUCACCACCGUGCAACUGAACUGAAUACACGAAAAAAAAAAAGAAAAUAUAUAGAGCUCGGCCGUGUCCUGUUAUUUUUUUCAUUCCUCCGCUCGUAACGUGGCAUUCUAAUCAUAGUUUAGUACUUUAUAAAACCAGGCCGAGAGACAAAUAUUCCCUCAACAAUGCGCUAAAUGGAAGCACGAAAAAAGUUUACACACUCGUGCUCGAGCGUCGUUAUUAAGGGAAACAAGUUUCUCGAAAUACGGGGUUGAACGAAAUUCCGCGAAUAAUUUGAUUGCGCUUUUAGGAGUCAAGUAGCGUUUUUUCCGGUAAACAAGAUGUUAAAGAGGAAUUAUACAAGAAUUUAAAAGCACGCGAUUCUCGCGAAAGUAGGCGAAAUUGUAUUUCACGAACAGAUAGAGAUAUGUUAAUUUUAUUUGGGAAAAGAAAAGAAGAAAAAAUCACUUUCUUCGUAAUAUUUUCAGAUUUAAUUUUCGACCAAUUAUCGGAAAUAGCGUUUUCGGCGAAUUUCGUUCAAAGUUGAUUCGGUGCGUACGACGAGAAAGAAUAUUAAAAAUACGAUGAUAUUUACAGUUCAUAACUAGACCGCGAACAUUUACGCAUUUAUGAGAAAUUUAAUACGGAAUGAAGCUGUAAUAUAAAAGAUAUACGAAGUUCUCGUUUAUAAAAUUUACAUUUUAAUUUUCUAAAAUUCUGUUUUUUUAAACCCUGUGUGUCGGUCAUAACUCUUAUGCGUUAUAUUCAACAUCCUUUCAAACGCUCCUCGACGUAUCCAUCUAUGUUCGAAUCCGACACUUACCCUCUCCCACCCCCAAAAUACAUAGCCCAACAUGCUCGAUAAUCUGCGACGCACAAAGCAAUUAAACGAGUUAAACCGCACGCAGGCCAUUUAGCAAGCCAGCCAUCGAGUUAAAAGGUUGGUAAGGCAUUCGCAAGUUGUCCCUCUCCCCUGGCGAAAUCCCGGUGAAAAGCUAUGCGGUGGUAACUCGAGGCCGAUUGCCCUUCGGUACGAAACGUGCUGGCGCAACUUGGAAGUCGCGUCCCACGCUGGCACGUGACUAGAUGCAGUUUACCCAUUCGGCAUUCCAAACACUCAAAACUCGAGUUAAUCGUUGGGGCCGGGGUCGUUCGAAGGGAUGGUGAAGAGAUACAGUGAGAGAGGGAGACGAGAGGGUGGUGGAGGGAGAAGGAUGACCGCGAGAAGACGGUUGAAGGGAGGCAAAGGAAGGGAAAACUGGGUUUACCAUCGGCAAACUCGACGUGGCUCGCGAGUUUGCCGUUUUACCAGGGAUGGAAUUGGGUCGAGUUUGUGGACCGAUGCGAUUCUACAAUCGUUACGCGCCGCUAGCUGGCGAAAAAUGUCAAAGCGCGAGAUGCGGGGGGAGGGGAGGAAGCUGGAGAUUAGUACAGUUUGGCAAUGUUGGAAGAGCCUUGUUUGAAGAAGUUUGUUUGGAUGUUUCGGCAAUUGCAACGCUUUAAAGGGAACGUGCUCGCGAUGCACGUACACGUUGAUAGUAGUUUCAAGACGUUUGAACAGCGUGUAAGGAUUCGCAUUGGGUAUUUUAGAGAUUGUAAAAGGAACGGUCGAGUGUGUACGUGAGUUUGAAAAAUUGUAAACGAAACAUUCCGUUCUGUUGGGAAUGUUGGAAGAGCGCGUUUUAGGAAUUGCAAGACUUUAAGAGAAUGUUUGAUGCGCGUUUGAUAGUAGUUUGAACAGCGUGUAAGGUAUUGGGUAUUUUAGAGAUUGUAAAAGGAAAAGUCGAGUAUAUACGUGAGUUUGAAAAAUUGUAAACGGAACGUUUUAGGAACUGCAAGGCCUUAAGAGAAUGUUUGAAGAUGUUUGAACAGCGUGUAAGGAUUCGCAUUGAGUAUUUUAGAGAUUGUAAAAGGAAAAGUCGAGUAUAUACGUGAGUUUGAAAAAUUGUAAACGUUUUAGGAAUUGCAAGGCCUUAAGAGAAUGUUUGAAUAGCCUGUAAGGAUUCACAUUGAUUAUUUUAGAGAUUGUAAAAGGAGGAGUCGAGUAUAUACGUGAGUUUGAAAAAUUGUAAACGUUUUAGGAAUUGCAAGGCCUUAAGAGAAUGUUUGAAGACGUUUGAAGAGCAUGUAAGGAUUCGCAUUGGGUAUUUUAGAGAUUGUAAAAGGAGGAGUCGAGUAUAUACGUGAGUUUGAAAAAUUGUAAACGUUUUAGGAAUUGCAAGGCCUUAAGAGAAUGUUUGAAGACGUUUGAACAGCGUAUAAGGAUUCGCAUUGGAUAUUUUAGAGAUUGUAAAAGGAAGAAUCGAGUAUAUACGUGAGUUUGAAAAAUUGUAAACGUUUUAGGAAUUGCAAGGCCUUAAGAGAAUGUUUGAAGACGUUUGAAGAGCAUGUAAGAAUUCGCAUGGGUAUUUUAGAGAUUGUAAAAGGGAUCGAGUUUGAAAAAUUGUGAAAGAAACAUUCCGUUGGGUUCAUAACAAGUGGUUUGAGAAUGUUGAAGGGGUACUUGGGGAUUAACGGAGAGUUUGUUUGGAUUAUUUAGGAAUCGUAAGGGCUUAAGGGAGAAGUGUUGGGACGUACACGUAGCUCGGAGCGUUGUUAUUGUUUAGACAGGAAUUGUCUGGUGUUAGUACAGUAAUUGUAUUGAUGUUUAGAGGAUUGUGUGAUGAUAGGUAAUUGAUCUAUACCGUUAUAUUAUAUAUUAUGAUGCUUGAAUAAAGAUAUAAUACGAUAAAAUA